UGUACGAACGAGUCGAGUAAAUGUGUCAAGUAAUUGUGUCAGAGCUGCAAUUAUCGAAAGCCGUAUUAAAAGUCUAUUUAAUAGAAAUAGCAAAACUAGUCGUGACUUUGCAAUGACUUGAGUAAGUCAAGAACUCUAGAGAAUCGAUGACAGUGCGCGAAUGCGAAAAAAGAGUUUCAGUCCGAUAGAAUUUGUUGAGCUAAUCAAGUCAAGUGACGACCAAGCAACAACAUGCGCCAGCCAAGUUCAAAGUCAAGAGCAAAACGACACCAACCUCGGCUAGCGCAGAGGGGCUUUACAACACCUGCAAACGAAACCGUUGAUCAUCGCAAAAGCCCCCGAAAACACGUUUCGACUUGUUCAAAUUGGUCACUAUUAUGAGCCGGGAUAAAUGGAAUACAGUUUUAAUGUCUCAAAAGCAAUCUGAUUAAUUGUAGUUUUAUUUACCCAACAAGUCCAGUGCGUAUUGCCACACGACAGUUGUAACAGGCCCAAGUGGACGCCUCGCAUAAUCAAUAAAGAUGUUGAAUUGA